AACUGGAUACUGUAAGACCCCCUUUCGGGGACCCCCACUCUAGUCUCAGGAGAGAGAGCACGCACCCAAAGAAACACAAGAAUCC
rnacentral:pre_miRNA from 7 species